GUACUAGAGUAUAUAGUGAUGGAGGGACGCAGUAGGCUAACUAAACCAGACGAUUGGAAGUGUCUGGCCAAGCAGUGAGGUGUGAUAUGAGUCAAAUGCUUAUAUCUUUAACAUUGAGCUGUGAUGGGGAGCGAAGUUUAGUAGCGAAGUUAGUGAUGUCACACUGCCGAGAAAAGCUUCUAGCGUUAAUUAUACUCUACCCGUACCGCAAACCGACACAGGUAGUCGAGGCGAGUAGCCUCAGGUGAGCGAGAGAACUCUCGUUAAGGAACUCGGCAAAAUGGCCCCGUAACUUCGGGAGAAGGGGCGCUGACUGAUGGUCAGCCGCAGUGAAUAGGCCCAAGCAACUGUUUAUCAAAAACACAGCUCUCUGCUAAAUCGUAAGAUGAUGUAUAG
rnacentral:rRNA from 1 species